rnacentral:lncRNA from 1 species
AAGCAAUGGGUAAAGUUCAAGUCUGAUUCAAGUAAUUGCUAAAGACAAGUUAUGACCAGAAAUAAGUUUAAGAUUUCACGAGAGGAAAUGGAAAUCCUUAAGUGAUUAUCUAAGGCACGGAAGUUGCCGAGAAUGUGGAGUAAAGGAGACUUCACCCAAGAUGUCCGAGGUGUUUAGAUGGAUCUUACAUCCUCGGAAAAGUCGGAGAUGAUUGUGGUGGUCCAAAGAAAGAGCAAGGACUCUUUUGG